rnacentral:rRNA from 1 species
UACGUAGGGGGCGAGCGUUGUCCGGAGUUACUGGGCGUAAAGCGCACGCAGGCGGUCUGCUAAGUUUGGAGUGACAGUUGGUGGCUUAACUGCCAAAGUGCUUCGAAAACUGACAGACUUGAGGGCUUCAGAGGGACACGGAAUUCCGGGUGGAGUGGUGAAAUGCGUAGAGAUCUGGAGGAACACCAAAGGCGAAGGCAGUGUCCUGGGGAGUACCUGACGCUCAGGUGCGAAAGCCAGGGGAGCGAACGGG